GUGUCUGUCCCUAGUCGGUCUAGGGUACGGUCUGCAAAACCGUAUUACGUGGGUUCAAGUCCCACCAGAUGCU
rnacentral:tRNA from 1 species